rnacentral:rRNA from 1 species
GACGAACGCUGGCGGCGUGCUUAACACAUGCAAGUCGAACGGAAAGGCCCUGCUUUUGUGGGGUGCUCGAGUGGCGAACGGGUGAGUAACACGUGAGUAACCUGCCCUUGACUUUGGGAUAACUUCAGGAAACUGGGGCUAAUACCGGAUAGGAGCUCCUGCUGCAUGGUGGGGGUUGGAAAGUUUCGGCGGUUGGGGAUGGACUCGCGGCUUAUCAGCUUGUUGGUGGGGUAGUGGCUUACCAAGGCUUUGACGGGUAGCCGGCCUGAGAGGGUGACCGGCCACAUUGGGACUGAGAUACGGCCCAGACUCCUACGGGAGGCAGCAGUGGGGAAUAUUGCACAAUGGGCGGAAGCCUGAUGCAGCAACGCCGCGUGCGGGAUGACGGCCUUCGGGUUGUAAACCGCUUUCGCCUGUGACGAAGCGUGAGUGACGGUAAUGGGUAAAGAAGCACCGGCUAACUACGUGCCAGCAGCCGCGGUGAUACGUAGGGUGCGAGCGUUGUCCGGAUUUAUUGGGCGUAAAGGGCUCGUAGGUGGUUGAUCGCGUCGGAAGUGUAAUCUUGGGGCUUAACCCUGAGCGUGCUUUCGAUACGGGUUGACUUGAGGAAGGUAGGGGAGAAUGGAAUUCCUGGUGGAGCGGUGGAAUGCGCAGAUAUCAGGAGGAACACCAGUGGCGAAGGCGGUUCUCUGGGCCUUUCCUGACGCUGAGGAGCGAAAGCGUGGGGAGCGAACAGGCUUAGAUACCCUGGUAGUCCACGCUGUAAACGGUGGGUACUAGGUGUGGGGUCCAUUCCACGGGUUCCGUGCCGUAGCUAACGCUUUAAGUACCCCGCCUGGGGAGUACGGCCGCAAGGCUAAAACUCAAAGGAAUUGACGGGGCCCCGCACAAGCGGCGGAGCAUGCGGAUUAAUUCGAUGCAACGCGUAGAACCUUACCUGGGUUUGACAUGGAUCGGGAGCGCUCAGAGAUGGGUGUGCCUCUUUUGGGGUCGGUUCACAGGUGGUGCAUGGCUGUCGUCAGCUCGUGUCGUGAGAUGUUGGGUUAAGUCCCGCAACGAGCGCAACCCUUGUUCACUGUUGCCAGCACGUUAUGGUGGGGACUCAGUGGAGACCGCCGGGGUCAACUCGGAGGAAGGUGGGGAUGACGUCAAGUCAUCAUGCCCCUUAUGUCCAGGGCUUCACGCAUGCUACAAUGGCUGGUACAGAGAGUGGCGAGCCUGUGAGGGUGAGCGGAUCUCGGAAAGCCGGUCUCAGUUCGGAUUGGGGUCUGCAACUCGACCUCAUGAAGUCGGAGUCGCUAGUAAUCGCAGAUCAGCAACGCUGCGGUGAAUACGUUCCCGGG